GGAUUGACGUGAUGGUCAUGCCUUAAGGGGUAUGAACUGUUACAGUUGAUUUCUCACCUUCUGGAGAACCGCGAUGUCCUUAAUUGGGUGCCGCGAGGAACCAGGACCUUUACUUUGAAAAAAUUAGAGUGUUUAAAGCAGGCAUUUUGCUUGAAUACAUUAGCAUGGAAUAAUAAAAUAGGACGGCAUGGUUCUAUUUUGUUGGUUUCUAGGAUCACCGUA
rnacentral:rRNA from 1 species